rnacentral:misc_RNA from 1 species
AACGGUCUAUACCUGCGGUACCUGCGGAGGGAUCAUUAGUGAACGCCCUCACGGGCUUAUAACUAUUCCAAACCUCUGUGAACCGUGCCCUUCGGGGCUAUUUUACAAACAUGGUGUAAUGAACGUCAUAUAUCAUAACAAAACAAAACUUUCAACAAUGGAUCUCU